AUUGAACGCUGGCGGCAUGCCUUACACAUGCAAGUCGAACGGCAGCACGGGGCAACCUGGUGGCGAGUGGCGAACGGGUGAGUAAUGCAUCGGAACGUACCUUUCAGUGGGGGAUAACGUAGCGAAAGUUACGCUAAUACCGCAUAUUCUGUGAGCAGGAAAGCAGGGGAUCGCAAGACCUUGCGCUGAUUGAGCGGCCGAUGUCAGAUUAGCUAGUUGGGGAGGUAAAGGCGCACCAAGGCGACGAUCUGUAGCGGGUCUGAGAGGAUGAUCCGCCACACUGGAACUGAGACACGGUCCAGACUCCUACGGGAGGCAGCAGUGGGGAAUUUUGGACAAUGGGGGCAACCCUGACCCAGCCAUGCCGCGUGAGUGAAGAAGGCCUCCGGGUUGUAAAGCUCUUUCGGCCGGGAAGAAAUCGCACGGGCUAAUACCCUGUGUGGAUGACGGUACCGUAAUAAGAAGCACCGGCUAACUACGUGCCAGCCGCCGCGGUAAGAC
rnacentral:rRNA from 1 species